rnacentral:rRNA from 1 species
UACGUAGGGUGCAAGCGUUAAUCGGAAUUACUGGGCGUAAAGCGUGCGCAGGCGGUUUUGUAAGUCUGUCGUGAAAUCCCCGGGCUCAACCUGGGAAUUGCGAUGGAGACUGCAAGGCUAGAAUCUGGCAGAGGGGGGUAGAAUUCCACGUGUGAGCAGUGGAAAUGCGUAGAGAUGUGGAGGAACACCGAUGGCGAAGGCAGCCCCCUGGGUCAAGAUUGACGCUCAUGCACGAAAGCGUGGGGAGCAAACAGG